UACGUAGGGAGCAAGCGUUGUCCGGAAUCAUUGGGCGUAAAGCGCGCGUAGGUGGCCUCGUAAGUCCGCUGUAAAAGUCCAGGGCUCAACCCUGGAAAGCCGGUGGAAACUGUCGAACUAGAGUCCGGAAGAGGCGAGUGGAAUUCCUGGUGUAGCGGUGAAAUGCGCAGAUAUCAGGAAGAACACCCGUGGCGAAGGCGGCUCUCUGGGACGGUACUGACGCUGAGACGCGAAAGCGUGGGGAGCGAACAGG
rnacentral:rRNA from 1 species